AUUGAACGCUGGCGGCAGGCCUAACACAUGCAAGUCGAACGAGUGGCGGACGGGUGAGUAAUGUCUGGGAAACUGCCUGAUGGAGGGGGAUAACUACUGGAAACGGUAGCUAAUACCGCAUACCAUCGGAUGUGCCCAGAUGGGAUUAGCUAGUAGGUGGGGUAAAGGCGCACCUAGGCGACGAUCCCUAGCUGGUCUGAGAGGAUGACCGUCCACACUGGAACUGAGACACGCUCCAGACUCCUACGGGGGGCAGCGGUGGGAAAUAUUGCACAAUGGGCGCACGCCUGAUGCACCCAUGCCGCGUGGAUGAAGAAGGCCUUCGGGUUGUAAAGUACUUUCAUCGGGGAGGCGUUACCCGCAGAAGAAGCACCGGCUAACUCCGUGCCAGCAGCCGCGGUAAUUC
rnacentral:rRNA from 1 species